rnacentral:rRNA from 1 species
AGAGUUCGAUCCUAGCUCAGGAUGCAUGCUAGCGGCAUGCUUAACACAUGCAAGUCAGACAGGAAGUAGUGUUUCCGGUGGCGGACGACUGAGUAAUGCAUAAGAACUUGCUCUUGGGAGGGGAAAAAUAGUGGGAAAUGGCUGCUAACACCCCAUAGGGUGAGAAGUAAAAGGAGGAACCUGCCUAAUUUGAGGCUCGUGUCUAAGUAGCUAGUUGAUGAGGCAAUAGCUUACCAAGCCAACAAUCAGUAGCUGGUCCGAGAGGAUGAUUAGCCACACUGGGACUGAGACACGGCCCAGACUCCUACGAGAGGCAGUAGUGAGGAAUUUUCCAUAAUGGACGAAAGCCUGAUGAAGCAAUGCCAUGUGGAGGCAGAAGGCCCAUGGGUUGUGAACUUCUUUUCUCAAAGAAGAAGCAAUGACAGUAUCUGGGGAAUAAGCAUCGGCUAACUCUGUGCUAGCAGCUGCGGUAAGACAGAGGAUGCAAGCAUUAUCCAGAAUGAUUAGGCGUAAAGUGUCUGUAGGUGGCUUUUUAAGUCCCCCGUCAAAUCCCAGGGCUCAAUUCUGGACAGGCAGUGAAAACUGACAAGAUGGAAUAUGGUAGAGGCAGAGGGAAUUUCUGGUAGAGCGGUUAAAUGCGUAUAGAUCGGAAAUAACAUCAAUGGCAAAAGCACUCUACUGGACCGAUACUGACACUUAGAGACGAAAGCGAGGGGAGCGAAUGGGAUUAGGUACCCCAGUAGUCCUAGCCGUAAAUGAUGGAUACUAGGCGCCGUUCGUAUCAACCCGUGCAGUGUUGUAGCCAAUCCGUUAAGUAUCCCACCUGGGGGGUAAGUUCGCAAGAAUAAAACUCAAAGGAAUUAACAGGAGCCCGCACAAACGGUUGAGCAUGUGGUUUAAUUCGAUGCAAAGCAAAGAACCUUAGCAGGGCUUGAUAUGCCGCGAAUCCUCUUGAAAAAGAGGGGUGCCUUCGGGAACGCAGACACCGGUGGUGCAUGGCUGUCGUCAGUUUGUGCCGUAAGGUGUUGGGUUAAGUCCUACAAUGGGCACAACACUCGUGUUUAGUUGCCAACAUUGAGUUUGGAACCCUAAACAGACUGCUGGUGUUAAGCCGGAGGAAGGUGAGGAUGACAUCAAGUCAUUAUGCCCUUUAUGCCCUGGACGACACACGUGCUACAAUGGCCGGGACAGGGUUGCGAUCCCGCAAGGGUGUGCUAACCCCAGGAACCCAUCCUCAGUUCGGAUUGCAAGCUGCAACUCGCCUGUAUAAAGCAGGAAUCACUAGUAAUCGCCGGUCAACUAUACGAUGGUGAAUUCGUUCCCGGGCCUUGCACACACCGCCCGUCACACUAGGGAAGCUGGCCAUGUUCAAAGUCCGUAACUUAACUAUAGUAAGGAGGGGGAUGCCAAAGGCAGGGUUAGUGACUGGAGUGAAGUCGUAAAAAGGUAGCCGUACUGGAAGGUGCGACUG